rnacentral:rRNA from 1 species
UACAUGUGGGGCGAGCGUUGUUCGGAUUUACUGGGCGUAAAGGGCGCGCAGGCGGCUCAUUUUGUCAGGCGUGAAAGCCCCGGGCUUAACCUGGGAACUGCGUUUGAUACGGAUGGGCUAGAGUUCGGGAGAGGAGAGUGGAAUUCCCAGUGUAGAGGUGAAAUUCGUAGAUAUUGGGAAGAACACCGGUGGCGAAGGCGGCUCUCUGGACCGAUACUGACGCUGAGGCGCGAAAGCGUGGGGAGCAAACAGG